rnacentral:tRNA from 1 species
GGGGCUGUGGCUCAGUGGUAGAGCACUUGCCUAGCAUGUGUGAGGCACUGGAUUCGAUCCUCAGCACCA